CCUGCCCCUAGAGUCAUUGCAGAUGUGGCUUCUUGUGUCAUGUAUGUGUCAAUAUGUAGCAGAGAGGAGAGAGUCUGGGUCUACACUUAGUAUUCUGGCCUAUGACUCUCUGGUUAGUAGCUUAGAAUU